CGUGAGACGAUUCCCGGAACUUCCUGUAAGUACCAGUACCAGACCAGUAAGUACUCUUAUUUAUUAUUCUGAAUAGCAGGCGCCAGGUUACCAGGUAAUUAAACUCGUGCAUUACACCUUACAUUGAAAUUGAAUUGACGUAUAGAAAAGACGAAGAUGACAAAAAGGCAACGUUGCUGAGAAUCCUCGUCACCCUUCGACUGCAGGAACUCCAGAAAUACCACCACUGCGGGGUGGGAGAAGUACCUGGCUCCUGGCACAAUACCAGUUUGUUUCUUACAUUCUUACUCGACGUCUAGCUAGUUACCGUUUUGUUGUUGGUAGUGAAAACCGUUGAAUGAUGAUGAAGAAGCAUUGUGCACGUGUAUAGUAGUUUACUAGUUUAGUACAUCUGUUUUGUUGUGGUAGCUGGUCUUUGUGUGUUGCUGUUCUUCGGAUCAUUCAAAUUAUUGGUUCGAAUUGAAAUUGAUCAAAAUCAAGGAUUACAGCCAUGGUUCGAACGAUCUCUUAUGAAUUUGCCCAUGAUCCUUCUCAUGCGAGCCCACCAUCGAUGCAAGAACUUUCGGCGAUCGCUAUUGGUAUAGAUACGUGGCGCAGCAAACAAACCAAACUUACCGGUCGUAAAUCAAAAAGAUAUCAACCAUAUCGUAAACGCAAAUCAGUGAAACGUUCGCUUUCGAAAAAUCCACGUGUAAUCGACGAUAUAAUCAAACAAUACAGCAAAGUAUUCGAGGAAUCGAUGAAAUCGUGGCUAAGAAACCAUUUCAAAAAAGUAUUCAAGUUACGUUACCAUCGUCAGAAUGAUAUUUUGAACGACUUCAGUGAUUUCGUUAUCGAUCAUACGGGUGCUAUUCAUGAUAGUGAAACAGCCAAACGUAUGGUGCAUUGUGAUCGAUUAAGUGCAGAUGUGAGAUUCGUGAUCGCUUGUUUGUAUUCUUUCGAAGAUGAUAUUAAACGAAUUCGGCCAUCUAUCAGUGGGGAGAGGGACUUCAGUAAGAUUGAUAAUUAUGUUCAGCUGCUGGUGAAAGUCUGGAUUAUGCGUCUUAGUGUUAAUGAUCUUGAGGACACUAUGACUCGUAUCAAUGAUCAUAUCAGAACCGUUCGACAGACUAUCGAUACCACCACCUCAAAUCUUUUAGAUAUGUUGAACCAUUAACCAAUGAGUUAUUUUUAAAUCGUUCUUUGUACUUUUGUGACUGAUACGAGCUUAUACAUUAUGUACUUAUGUGAUUUUGUUUAUUUAGUAUGAUUACGAAGUUGUGUUGUAUUCCAUAAAUUAUGUAGCUUAAUUCCUAUUUACUCUUAUCAAGUUUUGUUAUGUCAAUGGUACCUGCAGUGCCUAAUAAGUAAAUGAUUUCAAUUCAU